rnacentral:lncRNA from 1 species
CAUGUCCCCAGUGACACACUUUUAAUGCAGAACAUAAAAAUAUACAAUAAAAAUAUUUAUGCAAAAGUUGAAGAAUGGGCUGUGAGCUUUCAGCUGUUUUCAAUGGGAUAAGCAAUUUUUCAUAUGCUUUGGCAAAUUUUAGCCUCAUUAAAAGAACAAGUAGGUAACUACUGAUAGUAUAUGUGGAUAAAUUAGAGCAAUAAUCUAGUCAUCUAUCCCAAACCCAUCCAGAAAUUUAUGAGGACUUUGAUGAGGUGCAGAUGGGGCCCUUACAACAGAGACAAUAAUGAGGCCAGAGGACUCAGGAUUAGAAUUUCGCAUGUCCUAUGAAAUUUUGUGUUGUUUAGUUGCAGUAAGAGGCAUGCAGAAUGGUAGAAAAACACAUCACCCCUUGCACGUCACUCUUACAUACUCUUAAUGACUUGUUUAAUCCUCUGUGCUCUGCUGUCACAUUUUUUUCUUUCACCUCCUGCAAACUGACUCUCUUUGUCUGGCUCCACUUGUCAUUUCAGUCAAAAUAACCCCGUUCAGUGCAACAGGCUGGGCACAGAGUGGCUGAAAAACUGCCCAGCAGAAAAGGGCCUGGGGGCACUGGUUGACAGCACUGAACAUGAGCCAGAGUGUGCCCAAGUGGCCAAGCAGGCCAAUGGCACCUGGCCUGUAUCAGCAAGAAUGUGGCCAGCAGGACCAGGGCAGUGCUUGUCCCUCUGUACUUGGCACUCAUGAGGCCACACCUCAAAUCCUGUGUUGAGUUCUGGGCCCCUCACUAUAGGAAAGACAUUAAGGUUCUGGAGAGACUCCAGAGAACGGCAAGUGGAGCUGGGGAUGUUUAGCCUGGAAAAGUGGAGCUUGGAGCACAAGUCUAAUGAGGAACAGCUGAGGGAGCUGGGGAUUUUUAGCCUGGAAAAAAGGAGACUCGGGGGUGAACUUAUCACCCCCUCCAACCACCUGAAAGGAGAUUGUAGCCAGGUGGGUGUCAGUUUCUUCUCCCAGGCAACCAGUGGAAAUGCCUCAAGUUGUACCAGGAGAGGUUCCCUUUGGAUAUCAGGAAGAAUUCUUCCACUGAAAGGGGGGUUAAACAUUGGAAAUGCUGCCCAUGGAGGUGGAGGUCACCCAUCACACUGUCUUAAAACCUGCUUACAUCACUUCCACGGGUGAUCACUUUCUGCUAUCCUUGAUGGUCAAGGCCUGAUUGGUUCCCUGUGAUUAUAUAAAAUAGGAUGCAGAGCAGUUAAAUAAAACAACGAAACUAACUGAAAAGGCCAUCCUUUUCUAAGUACAGUGUUAUACCUUUCUGACUCACAUUCUAGCUUCUUCCCAUUGCCCUCCUCUCAAGAGGAAAAAUCCAUGCUGGAUCCCAAAAUCUGGGCAUUGUCUGACAUUUUCAUAUCAGAAAACUUUAGCAGUAACUGCUCCUGCUCCCUGAUGUUUGAUCCCAGCACCCCCACACUCAUCAAGAUACAGGAGGCUCAGUACCUUGGAGGCCAGAAUGGUAACAAACACAAAUCCCUGCUGAGAACGCAGGAGAUGUGAGUCAGCAUGAGCAAGACCCAGAUUACUGUGAACAACACCCCAGCUGAGCAAUAGCAACUUAAUCAUAGUCAGAGAGUCAGUAUUGUGCACUUACUGAAAUAAUCAACAUCUCAUUUUUCAGGAUCCAUAGGAAUACUGUGCCAUUUAAUAGUUUGCAUUCUGGCUGCUACAAAUCACCAUUCUUUUUGCUGUAUGUAGCCUCAAAAAUUGGCAUAUUUUGUCAAAAGGAAAAGAUAAUAUUUUAACUUGUGAUUUCAGUCAGCAAAUAUUUUACCACCUGCUUAACAUGUCACUUUUCAUUUUGGAAUCUCAUAGUUAUCAAUCAUAGGCUGUAUCUUGCUGAUAAAUAGGAGAAUUGAAGCAACACUAGUGUUUUUCACACCCUGAGCUUUUGAUCAAAACAGUGUCAGGAGGAGAUGUACACACAACUCCUGCUUCAACCACUGCUUGCUUGCCUGUGCACAUUAGAGAUGCAGAGGUCUUUACACAGAUCGAAAUUAGAUGUUUAGAACAGCUGUUCACUUCUCUAGAAAGAGUCAUAGGUGCCUUUACAUGUGGCAGGAAGAUGCACAGAAUUCCUUGUUUAUAAUAAAAAGAGUUGCCUUUGCUCUUCCUGUAACUCCAUUUGAGACGUUAUUAGACUUCAUCUUAUGUCAAAAAGAAAGUCUGAAAUGAAAUGAAAUCACCAUAGAACCAUAUGCCACGCUGCUGAGGCACAGCAAAAGUAAGCUAAAUUCACUAUUGCAACUGCCAGAGUGAAUUUGUCUGUUUUUAUUGGUAUAUGACUCAGCUUUAAUAUUUUUCUAAGACAGUUCUUGAUAGUCUUAUUGACAAAUAAAUAACAUUAAUAAGACAGAAGAGUUGGUCACUUCCUUCCAACCACUCUAGUAACAUAUUCUGGGUAUAAAGGGAGGCAAAACAAACCAGAGCAUCCAAGUGUUCUUCUUUCAGAUGGAAUACUCCUAACCUUUUUGCCCUGGACAGAUUUUCUCAUUUGUGAGAAAGCAUUAUUUAGGGAAAAGAGUACAAAAGGAGAAGUACCGAGUUCCUCUCCUAGGUUGAACUAUUGCCUAUGGGGAUCUUCAGUAGCUCUUUCAACAGCCUCACUUUCUUGUCGGAGCACAAAAUACAAAUAAUUUUUUUUCCUAUAACAUGUUCAGAGUAAGGCCUUAUCAAACUUUCAGUGAAGUACCUGGUGAUUCUGGAUGAGAAUAUAAAUUAUUGCUCCCACUCCCAAAAUAGUUUGUUUGGUACCAGAGGAAGAAGUCUCCUGAAGCUUCUGGAAUGAAAUGGGAAAGAAAAAAACAGAGGAAAGGAGAAGAAUUGAUCUGCCCUGAGAUAACAGUUGCACAGAUGUUCUCACAUCUCCUAACCUCACAUUUAUGUGAUGUUGCACAUUGGCAAUAUGAGGUUUUUCUUGUGAGCAGCACCUUUAUUUAUUGCUGCUGAAUUAAUUUUCCCUUAAGAAAUAAAGUUUUUUAACUGCUGGUAUUAUUGUUCUCUUCUCUCCAUUUUCUUACAGCCUUGUACUAAAUCCUGUCACCGCUUCUUUCUCCUGAAGUGAUUCAGGGCACUGUGCUCUGGAUCACAGGGCUGCAAAGUGUCAUUUGGCAUCUUUUAACUGUAACCACAGACAACAAAGGCAGCUGGCUUUGCCAUGACUUCUGGAUUUUGUAGAUGCCUGAAAGCAAGCCCUAAGUGAAAUAUCUGUGACAUUAUGCAUUUGUGAUACCAUUGCAAAUGGGAGCAUUUCCAUUUCUGUAGGCUAAACCCUACUCCCUCCUCCAAGAGCUUGCCAUCAGUCCCAGUUUGCUAUCGCUCCCAUCCUGAGGGUCUGUGUGCAAGCCAGGGAUGUUUAUUAGACAGAGUUAAUUCCUUGCAGACUCCUUCUAAGUGUGUCUGUGACUGACAGAGGCGGGUGCUGUUUGCAAGUGUCAAUGGAGCAUGACCUCGAGUUAAUACACUGAAUGAUGAGAGAAAAGAAGAUUCAUUCAGCAUCUGAACUCUCUGCUGAGAUUAGCCAGAAAUACAGAGCACAUACAAAUCGCUGUUUUGUCAGCACAGUGCUUGGCAGAGUUUUUAAAUAUUUCAGCUAUUCUAAGCCAUCAUCCUCAAGGCCAGGGCAACUAAAAAAAGAGAAUGAUUGAAACAGCAUUUCUGAUCCAAACAUCAUUGUUUUAGAUGUAAAAUUUGGACCUGGAUCUUUAAAGCAAUGCAUGGCAGCCACAGCCCCAGGUUUGAUGUGAACGGGGUUGCAGUAACAUGCACAGAGCUGUUUACAAAACUCAGAGAAGGAACCACAGGAUAUUUAGCUUUUCAGUAGUAGAUGCCUGUUCAACUCCAGCCUGGUGAGGAGAAAAUGCAAGGACCUCCACAGUCUGUCUGUCUACUGGUGCUAAUUGCUUCCAUUUCAGUUGCCUGUGGCCAUAAGUUGGUCUUCCAGAGGCUAUCUCUGCAUCUGGUAUUAGCAGGGGCCACAUAGGCCAUGGUAGGUUACCUUUUCUCCUAUCCAAGCAGUUCUGUCCAGAUCUGAGUCUGUCUGUCUGGGGACACUGUCUCCGUUAGUGUUCAGAUCUUAUCUGUACUUUGCUAAAACAGUUAGAAGGUUGGGGAAAACCCCAGCAGUACUGGGGUUUUUUUGUGAUUUCUUCCCAGCUAUAUAGUUGGUCCUUUCUUAGAAUUUAAAAAACAACAGAGCUGUUAGCAGAGGUAUUGGAAGAAAUACGGUUUCCCUCCCUCCUCUGAGGGAGUUCUGAGUUCUAGCAGUAACUAUUACCAGAGGCAGGAUUGUAGAGAAGAUAUCAAAUCUCUUUCUAUCUGUGCUUCCUAUUGUUGAUUCUGACAACUACAUCCAUUUAGGGUCAGAUUCUAUCGUACAUUGCUGCUUUGAAGCCAGCAGACAAUAAAUGCAGAAUUUAGAGCAUAAUAACUCCAGUACUUUCAGUGCAAAGAAUCCUCUGUUCACCUCUCCUCAUUGCCUGUUUCUCUCCUGCAUGGUUCUCUUGACUUUGUAUCCAACCCUGUGCACAAAAACCUCUGCAUCAUCAAUUUCUCUUGCAGUCCUAACUAAAGGAGCUUCUUCUCUCUAUCUCCAUUGCUACCCAUCAGGCUUUUGAGUCCCUUAAAACAGCAAGACCAAAAGUGAUCCUGUGUUUUCUCAGAAGUGAUCAAACCUAAGAAAAUUAUUAUUACCUUCUCUUCUUGCCCUUCCAUCUAUCUCUUCUCUCACAGCUGCUCCAGGGACACAGACAUACAAAAAAAUCUGCACAAGAGGCAGAAGACAGUAAAUGCCUUCUUUUGUGAAGGCACCAGUAUCUAUCCUGGGGUUGCUGCAGCCCAUUAAACCUAACACAGAGAGAUUUUGGGGUUGCUUUCUGUUAAUAAACUUUGGGGGUUUGUUACUAACCAGCACCAGUAGCUCUUAAGAAAAAGACAGGUUUUGCUGAAGCCUAUUGCUUUUUAAAUAGAGUAAUUUACAAUCAGAUACAGUUUAGAUUACCAAAUUAUUGGCAGCACUUUGGUGCAAUGUCUGGUUUCUUUCCUUCAGUAACCCCCAUCAUCUACUGACCCAACCCAGAGCUGACUGCAGGUGAAAUGGAUAGAAAAAGUACCCCAGCUGAUAUUGGCCAGUUUGUCACUCUCUAUUUGCUUUGUCUCCCUUCAUCUGCUCUGCCAUCCCAAAUGGUUUCUCUCUGGUUAUCACGUGGGUCACUUACUAUGUGAAGGAGUAACAAGAAGAGAAAGAUGAGGCAGCUGUAUUAACAGUUAUGUAUUACACAUUUCUGUGUCAUUGCUUGAAUGAUGUGCUUUUGUCACUCUGUGCUGUUGUGGGCAAGGUCAGUGUCACUUGCUUGCAAGGAUGUGCACACAAGGAAGACUCAUUCUUGACUCUGAAAGGAUGUGUUGGCCAUACUGCCAGUGAACAGCAGAGUUGAGUCAGCAGUGCAAAAUUAUAAUUAAAAAAGAGAAAGAAAGAAAAAAAAAAAAAGAAAAAAAAGGAAAAACAAUACCAGCCAUCAUUUCCUAGAGAGCUCUGGAAGUUUGCUGGAAGCCUCUUUAUAGCCUUGCAAAUGUUGUGAGUGGUAUGCAGGCAGUUGCCACUAAACGGUGCAAAUGGGAGAACUGCAGGAACUCACCAUGUUUCCACAGAGUCAAGAUUGGAAAAUACCCAGAGUCUGACACUCAGACGUGGUAAAUCAGACUUGCCCUGCCACCUCCUGGCCGUACCAGACACCGACUAGAAUUUAACGUGCCAAACAGCCUGCUUGUUUGUUCGUAUCUUACUCGCUUCCUGGUCAGGGGCCUGACCUGAGGUUCGCUGAGGUGACCAAGCUGUGACCUCAGCCUGGAAAGCAUAUGCAGAAUGAAUGGAUAAAGCCUUUGGGACCAUAAAUAUGAAACAAAGGCUUUGCUGUGACCUUCACACAUAUGUUUUAAUACGCAAUGAAAACAUUAGAAUUCUUUCUGUGUCUGUUUCCCAUAGAAAUGUGUAGCUGUAGAGAUUCUCACCUUACAGUGGAGGGGAGAUCACUGCCUCUCCAGGUAUCCCUGAUGUUUCAAUUGUCAGGCCUCAUGCAACCAAACGUUUGGGAAUCUCUGCCUCUUUAUUGCUCUGUAGGGAAGAAAUUCUGUAAGUAUACAAAGAAAGACUACAUACGUGCUUGGUUUUUAAUAUGGAACUAUAAUAUGGAAAAAAGGCUCUUGUUAAUAUUCUUCUUAUUUCUUUCCUAGCUUGCAAUGUCUAGUAAUAUUUCCUACUAAUGUUGGUGUAGGGAUGGAGAUAGAUAUUGACUUUCAUCUCUGUACAGCAUUCUAGCUUUACUGCUCCAUAAACUGCUCCAAGAGAAUAAUAAUAAUAUGAUGUCAUGAUUUAUAAGCCAAAUAUAACUUUUUACAUUUUUAUACAGUUUCAAAUAGUAUUUGCUUUCACAGUUUCAUUUUAUCUGAACUUCCAUUCAAUGGAAAGUUAUAGAAAAUCUCAGGGAAGUUGUAGCCUAAGGACAUAUAACCUUUGGCAAUAUGAGUCCACUAGUAAAGAGGGAAUGAGGGUUUCAGGCUCUUCUUGCUCUUCUUCCAUGUUCAUUAAGGACUCCAAUAGCCCACUGAGGGAAAUAGAAAGAUCUUUCAGAAAAUGUAAACCCAGACAAGAGCAAGAGUGUCUGCAUUUUGAAACCCACAUCACCUUCACUCUGCAGCUGAGUAACAUCAAUUUCAUCUGGUAGGAGCACACUCUUUCCUUGGUUUAUAUGUGUGUGAACGAGUGAUGUAUUUUUAAUGAGAUUUAUUUUCAUGACAGGAACAUCAUUGACAAUUUGCAUUAAAGACAAGCUAAAUGAGCUGUUCAAGAGUAGAACAAGCUUUCUCACAUUUGUUUCCUUUAAUUAAUCCACACAGCAUGGUAAUUUUGGAUUAAGUCCUACCUUAUACCAUCUAUGAGAUCAAAGUCAUCCUUCCAUAAAAUCUUUGAUCACCCUAUUUUCUUCAUGUUAAUCCUUUGAGGACAUAACUCACUGAGAAAACUUAGAAGGGCAUUUGUUUUAAUACUCUAUCACGAAAAUGCAGUAACUUUUUUUCUGUUUUGUCUCAAGUAAAAAGUCAAUUGUUAAAACUUCCAGCUGGACAGAAAUCUGUAUUUCCAGACAGGUUUGCUUUAAGUACCUAGUCAUUUACUGGAAUUACCAAGUCACUUCCCAUGAUAAUUGAAAUGAAAUUAUAUUAUAUGAAACCCUAGUGACCUCCAAAUGGAACUGAAACCUAUUAGGUCUGAAGUACAGAUCUCUACCUCAUGUGCUAAUAAGUAAUUGGUAGCAGUAGAUGUCUGUUAUCAUCCAGAGGGAUCAGUUGCAUGAGGUAAAAACUCAAUCAACAAAUUUGAGGGAUGUAGGGUACAUCCUUCAUCACCAGAUAAUACAGACACUUGCCAACAAAUAAGCAUGGAGGUUCCAGAAAGCCUUGGAUUGUUUCAGUGUUGGAUGAGAAAGAACAGACAUAAAAAUCUGUAUGGAUGCUGGUUCUGCUUUCUCUCUGCUUACACACCUUCCUCACAGCUCCUUCCUCCCUAUAAUAUUAAGUCCAAGCGUCCAGCUUUCACUCCUGCUGGCCCUGCUCCCCACUCCACACCCUGUAGUGCUCCAUGCUCCAGAGGAGAAGGUGCCAGCCCUGGGCUUCAGCAUGGAGCUGCACAGAAGCAGAUGAGCUUGCAGAGAGAAGCUGGAGGGCUGACAUUGCAGAUGUCACAGCCAGGAAUUUAGCUGCCAAGAGAACAAGCUUCUACUGAGGGUGUUCAAAUUAAAAUUAGUCAGAGUUUAUUAUUUGGCCAAGAUAUGAUUUCCUGGAGACAGUGAAAGAAGCUUACUUGAUACCAAAAAUGCCUUUUCUAUGAAGCCUGGAAAAAGUAAGCAUUCCAAGCCACAGUAUUGUAAGAUUUUUAACCAGGCCAAUAUAAUUGCCAUUCUCUAAUUUUUAUGUGUGAUUGAAGAACUUCAGAUAAAAUUUUACAAAGUAAGGCUGACAUAAGCUGCAGGAAAGGAUGACUAGAAAAACAGUGUUAUAAAACAUUUUAGAUACCACUGCCAUGUCAGCCUUCUAUCACAGUACCAAAAAGCACAGUCAUAGCUCAUGGCAGUAAUGGAAACACCCCUUACUAUCAUUCCCAGAGCAGGAAGCUUGGGAGAGGCAUCUUGAACCUCUUUUUUGACUCCAAGAAUCACACUGAAGAAAAGUUAAGGAACAAAGCACGAUUUACACCUUACCCAAAGAAUACAAAGCCUAGGCCUGGACACAGAUUUGGAACAGGUGUUUCUGUUGCUUCCUGUGCUGUGAAGCUGCCAGCACAGCCCUGGUUCUGGUUGUCAGAUGUUCUUCCAGACAAUGCCUGUGCAUGGUUUGGGGACUGACAAAGGCUGCAGAUUAUUCCCAAUUGGCAGUUUGGAUGCAGAUACCUUGUUUUGGAGGCUGCAGGAGUUUAGCUGUGUCUUGCCAGAGUUUACCAGGUGUUUACUAGCUUGUUUACUAGCAGUUUGUUCACAAGUUUGUUUACAAGCAGAGAGAGGUUCAAACAGGCUCAUAACCCCAAAGAAUGACUGUGGUCACCCAAGGAGAUAGUGCACCUGUAGCUUAUUCCCCACUUACUUCCCCUUCCAUUUAUCAUCAAAGAAAUAGGCCAGUGGUGCUCAGCUUGUUAAACCUGUCAAGCCAGACCAUCAAACUUCCUGUUGGGAACAACAGCAUUUAAAAUUGCAUCAAAAGAAUAAGGAGGAAGGUAAUUUUUAUACCCGUAUCAGGAGAUCAAAAAGGCACCAUAUCAAGCAUAUUUUGUCAGGAGAGGAAGCCAAGGAUCAUUACUUGGAGGAUUCAAUGAACGUUGUUAGAAACUGCAUUUUCCUCCACUUCGUUCUUAUCAUGACACCUUGGCAAAGUGCUAAGAACUAUUUCUAAGGAAAAGGUUAUGGAUGCUGGCAGAUAGGAGCAGAUGCGAUCACAAGCUUGAACUUGAAGAAUAUUUUAUGCCAGAUUAAAAAAAAAAAAAAAAAAAAAAAA